rnacentral:rRNA from 1 species
CUAAGAAUAUUCCACAAUGGACGGAAGUCUGAUGGAGCGACGCCGCGUGGAUGAAGAAGGCCGAAAGGUUGUAAAAUUCUUUUGCGGAUGAAGAAUAACCGGCGGAGGGAAUGCCGUCGGGAUGACGUUAGUCCGCGAAUAAGCCCCGGCUAAUUACGUGCCAGCAGCCGCGGUAACACGUAAGGGGCGAGCGUUGUUCGGAAUUAUUGGGCGUAAAGGGCGCGUAGGCGGCCUAGUAAGUCUGAUGUGAAAACCCCGGGCCCAACCCGGGAACUGCAUUGGAAACUGCGAGGCUUGAGUCACGGAGGGGGAAUCGGAAUUCCUGGUGUAGGGGUGAAAUCUGUAGAUAUCAGGAAGAACACCGGUGGCGAAGGCGGAUUUCCAGCCGAUGACUGACGCUGAGGCGCGAAAGUGCGGGGAGCAAACAGGAUUAGAUACCCUGGUAGUCCGCACUAUAAACGAUGCACACUAGGUGUCGGGG